AGCCCCUGCAAGCCUCUCCUCAAUUGGUUACACCUCACCAGGCCUGAAGCCAUUUUAUUUGCCCUGGGGCUGCCCUGCGCCGUGCACCCCCAAGUCAGGGGCCAGAGUCCCUCUCUCUGAUCCCCUCCUCCCUGCCAUGUGACCGCCAAACCCUCAGCCCUCCUCUGGGGAGUGAGAGACUCUGGCCUGGUCCCUCAGCUUCACACAUCUUCAGGGCAAAGGACGGAUGGCUGAGCAAGACUGACAUCUCCUGAAUGCCUGAGGCCACCCCGACUGCCCUCCAACCCCACCUCCUAGAUUUGGGUGGCCUCUUCCCUCUCUGCCCCUCCUGACAUCUCUUCCCUCCACACCCCUGCCCUUCCCUGCUCCAGCCAGACUUCACUGGAAUGUCUGGGCUCGGGUCCUGAUGGACCCCAAGGUUGGCAAGGGUGGGGGGGACACAGCCGGCUGGCCAAGCCUUAACAGUGACCGGAGACCCUCCUAGGGGAACUUCCGAGUUAAAUUUCUGCCUGGGGAGAAGUUUACCAGAAUGUACUGAAUGGAGACACCAAAUUCAGGGUUAAACUAGCAGUUCUAACCCGUGACUGCAUUUUAGAAUCACCUGGGAAGCUUUUCCCCAAAACACCACUACCCAGGUCCCACCACAGAUGUUCGGACCUAAUUAAGGCCCAGGCAGCAACUUCUUUUCCCUUUUUCUUUAACUUCUUACUGAAGUAUAACAUUUAUACAGAAGAGCACACAUAAGCCUAAGGCUCUAUGAAUCUUUUUAAAUUAAAUGCACCUGAGUAACCAGCAGUCUGCUGAGGAAACAGUUUUACUCUCCUCCUCUGAGCCCGGGGAUGGUGUUCAGUCACUGUGCCCCAUGGAGGAGAACCAUGCUCUUGGUUUUAGCACCAGGGGAUUCCUUGGCCAGGCGUUCUUUGAGAUCCGCCCAGGUGAUUUCUCCAGAGCAGCUGGGGUCCAGAACACUGGCCUGGACACCUCCACCACCUUGCGCAGCACACUACGGCCCUAGCCUACCCCCAACUAUUUCCCUUGACAAAGAUGAAGAGCUUCAGAGGCACCAAGCUCAACGGUUACUUCUUAAAUUAACAGACACAAGUCCCCACGGCGCCCCCUCUCCCAGGGCUGUCCCCUGUGGCAGGGGCCUCCUGAGCUGGGCCUACUGCUGGUGUUCACCACUAACCCUGGCUGUCUCUGAGAUGGUCCUUCCAGAAACUGCCACGGCUGUCAGGGCUCAGGAACCUGCUACUGCCUCCCCACCCUGGAUGCCAUUUCCCCUCCUGAACUGGAGGCUUUAGGAUGCACCUGCUGGGCGGGGGCAGCCCGGCUCAGGAGGCCUUAUCCUGGGGCUGCAUGGUUAGGAGGCAGCUGCUUUCUCAUAGCGGGCCACGGAAACUCCUCCGCCUCGACAGUCGGGGUACCAUCCAGGGGGCUGGGCUGAGGGACAGGGCGCCCAGCUGAAGGCAGCCCUCUGAGUGCGAACCUCGAGCUCGAGCCACUGUGGUCGGCAGGUUUGGAGUGGCUGGCCCCAGACACCGGGCUUUACCGAGGUCAAGGCAGCCAAGACCGUCACCAUCUCCAGGGCCUGCCAGGGACCUACGUGGGAGAGCAAGCAGGAAGCUGAGCCCAGGCUGCAGAAGGCCCAGUGGGGGAUAAUGGCCUCGACUGAGAAGGAGACUCAACUCAGAACAGCGUGGUGCACAGCGGGCAGGGAUUACUAAGGCCUGGGUGCCCCGGGCCCCUCAGGAAGCGAACACUGGCAGCACGUGGGGGCAGCACACGUGUCUUUUCCAGGUCUGAUCAUUUUAUGGCCUGGCCGUUCCUUCCCGCUACCAGACGAUGCCCCUGCCUUCCAUCCUCACGUUCUACUUGAGAUGAUGAAUGGAGGGUGCUCAGCAGACCUGUGCUGGCGUCAACCCUGGAUGUCUGCCAUGGCGUGGGUAGAGGAGACACCGCACCUGUGCUCUGCAGCUGCCUCUCCCACCUGUGUCACGGAAUGUAACUUUAUUUGGGUGGCAUCUGUUUUAAGAAUAAUCACCCCUGGAGAAAUAAGUGUCCUGGUUGACUGACCGCUGUCACAAGGAGAGGGUCAUAAUUUGUUAGCAGGCCCCCUGGCCAGAAGAUGAUGUAACACCCCUAAGACCUCUGUAUACAUUUGUAUGAAGCACCUGACUUUAAUAAAAGUCAGGACUGCUGUCCCC
ensembl:lncRNA